rnacentral:misc_RNA from 1 species
CAAUUUUCGUGACCCCUUCGUCUAGAGGCCCAGGACACCGCCCUUUCACGGCGGUAACAGGGGUUCGAAUCCCCUAGGGGACGCCACUUGCUGGUUUGUGAGUGAAAGUCGCCGACCUUAAUAUCUCAAAACUCAUCUUCGGGUGAUGUUUGAGAUAUUUGCUCUUUAAAAAUCUGGAUCAAGCUGAAAAUUGAAACACUGAACAACGAGAGUUGUUCGUGAGUCUCUCAAAUUUUCGCAACACGAUGAUGAAUCGAAAGAAACAUCUUCGGGUUGUGAGGUUAAGCGACUAAGCGUACACGGUGGAUGCCCUGGCAGUCAGAGGCGAUGAAGGACGUGCUAAUCUGCGAUAAGCGUCGGUAAGGUGAUAUGAACCGUUAUAACCGGCGAUUUCCGAAUGGGGAAACCCAGUGUGUUUCGACACACUAUCAUUAAC